CUUAGAGGGAUUUACUGUGCCACAGUAAUGGUGCGUAGGUGAAAUCAUUGGGGAAGCCAAGACAGGUGUAGGUCAUGACAGGGUUUUAAAAAAGCCAUCUUACAACCUGUGUGUUGUGAUAAUUGCAUGAUUUGCUCUAUAACCUGUUAGUUCAUAUGCCUUGACACCGUGAUAUAUAGGUCUGAGGCCGAGACAAUAAGAAGAUACAGUGAUAUAUAGGUCUGAGGCCGAGACAAUAAGAAGAUACAGUGAUAUAUAGGUCUGAGGCCGAGACAAUAAGAAGAUACAGUGAUAUAUAGGUCUGAGGCCGAGACAAUAAGAAGAUACAGUGAUAUAUAGGUCUGAGGCCGAGACAAUAAGAAGACACAGUGAUAUAUAGGCCUGAGGCCGAGACAAUAAGAAGAUACAGUGAUAUAUAGGUCUGAGGCCGAGACAAUAAGAAGAUACAGUGAUAUAUAGGUCUGAGGCCGAGACAAUAAGAAGAUACAGUGAUAUAUAGGUCUGAGGCCGAGACAAUAAGAAGAUACAGUGAUAUAGGUCUGAGGCCGAGACAAUAAGAAGAUACAGUGAUAUAUAGGUCUGAGGCCGAGACAAUAAGAAGAUACAGUGAUAUAUAGGUCUGAGGCCGAGACAAUAAGAAGAUACAGUGAUAUAUAGGUCUGAGGCCGAGACAAUAAGAAGAUACAGUGAUAUAUAGGUCUGAGGCCGAGACAAUAAGAAGAUACAGUGAUAUAUAGGCC